GGUUCUGUGGUGUAGCGGUUAUCACGUCUGCUUUACACGCAGAAGUUCAAACCUCGCCAGAACCU